rnacentral:rRNA from 1 species
AGGAUAAACGCUGGCGGCGUGCCUAACACAUGCAAGUCGAACGCCCUUUUGCUCGCAAGAGCCAGAGGGAGUGGCGGACGGGUGAGUAACACAUGGGUAACCUACCCCACAGUGAGGAAUACCGGCGAGAAAUCGCCGACAAGACCGCAUAGGCUCGGUCCGGUGAAGCGGACCGCGCAAAGUCUCGCAAGAGACGCUGAGGGAUGGGCCUGUGGCCGAUUAGCUGGUUGGUAAGGUAAAGGCUUACCAAGGCGACGAUCGGUAGCUGGUCUGAGAGGACGAACAGCCACACUGGGAUUGAGAACGGCCCAGACUCCUACGGGGGGCAGCAGUGAGGAAUUUUCCGCAAUGGACGCAAGUCUGACGGAGCAACGCCGCGUGCAGGAGGACGCUUUUCGGAGUGUAAACUGCUUUUCUGUGGGACGAGCGAGGACGGUACCACAGGAAGAAGCCCCGGCUAACUACGCGCCAGCAGCCGC